CGUAAAGCGCGCGUAGGCCGUUGAGUUAGUUAAUUGUGAAAUCCCAAAGCUUAACUUUGGAACUGCAAUUAAAACUGCUCGACUAGAGUUUGAUAGAGGAAAGCGGAAUACAUAGUGUAGAGGUGAAAUUCGUAGAUAUUAUGUAGAACACCAGUUGCGAAGGCGGCUUUCUGGAUCAACACUGACGCUGAGGCGCGAAAGUAUGGGUAGCAAAGAGGAUUAGAUACCCUCGUAGUCCAUACCAUAAACGAUGAUUGCUAGAUGUUGGAAAUUUAUUUUCAGUAUCGCAGCUAACGCAUUAAGCAAUCCGCCUGGGGAGUACGACCGCAAGGUUAAAACUCAAAUGAAUUGACGGGGACCCGCACAAGCGGUGGAGCAUGUGGUUUAAUUCGAAGAUACGCGCAGAACCUUACCAACCCUUGACAUGUUUGUCGCGAGUUUAGGAAACUAGACUUUUCGGUUCGGCCGGACAGAACACAGGUGCUGCAUGGCUGUCGUCAGCUCGUGUCGUGAGAUGUUGGGUUAAGUCCCGCAACGAGCGCAACCCCUACUUUUAGUUGCCAUCAGGUCAUGCUGGGCACUCUGAAAGAACUGCCAGUGAUAAGCUGGAGGAAGGUGGGGAUGACGUCAAGUCCUCAUGGCCCCUUUACGGGUUGGGCUACACACGUGCUACAAAUGGUAGUGACAAUGAGAUGCAAAGUG
rnacentral:rRNA from 1 species